GAUGAACGCUGGCGGCGUGCCUAAUACAUGCAAGUCGAGCGAACGGACGAGAAGCUUGCUUCUCUGAUGUUAGCGGCGAACGGGUGAGUAACACGUGGAUAACCUACCUAUAAGACUUGGAUAACUUCGGGAAACCGGAGCUAAUACCGGAUAAUAUUUUGAACCGCAUGGUUCAAAAGUGAAAGACGGUCUUGCUGUCACUUAUAGAUGGAUCCGCGCUGCAUUAGCUAGUUGGUAAGGUAACGGCUUACCAAGGCAACGAUGCAUAGCCGACCUGAGAGGGUGAAUCGCUACACUGGAACUGAGGCACGGUCCAGACUCCUACGGGAGGCAGCAGUAGGGACUCCUACGCAAUGGGCGAAAGCCGGAUGGAGCAACGCCGCGUGAGUGAUGAAGGUCUUCGGAUCGGAAAACUCUGUUAUUAGGGAAGAACAUAUGUGUAAGUAACUGUGCACAUCUUGACGGUACCUAAUCAGAAAGCCACGGCUAACUACGUG
rnacentral:rRNA from 1 species